rnacentral:piRNA from 2 species
UUGAUUGUGGUGAUGAUUAUAUGU